ensembl:snoRNA
UGUGCACUCCAACCCAAAGCUCAUAUCCUCUCAGUGGUAUGAAUUUUUUGGGGUGCAAACAGAAACGGAUCCUUGUCGCCUUUCUCUGACGCUGCAGUGCCUUUGAAAGUGAAUCCAAGGGUCGACAGUU